GGUAUCUCGUGUGUGUGUGUCCGUUUUUCUCCUUCUCCCCUCACAGGUGAAAAUCAUCACUCCCCAAUCAGUCAUCAAUCAUCAGUUGCUUUCCCUUGGUUUAAAAACCCUGUCAGUUGUUUGCUCUGGAGCUCAAUCUCUCUGUAAAUGAUAUGUCUGUAGAUCGCUCUGUUUCACCCUCUUCUCCUAUGUCUCUCUAUCUCUCUUUAUGUAUUGAGCUCUCUUUUGUUUGAGCACCUCCAUAUCACUUUGUCUUCACCUGGAAGCUCUAUGGCCGAGGCUCGACAGACGACAAGGGCCCAGUGUUGGCCUGGUUCAACUGCAUUGAGGGCUACCAAAAGAUCCAACAGGAGCUUCCGAUAAACAUCAAGUUCUGCUUCGAGGGCAUGGAGGAAUCUGAAUCGGAGGGCCUGGACAAGCUGGUGUUUGCCCGCAAAGACACCUUCCUGAAGGACGUGGAUUACGUAUGCAUCUCAGACAACUACUGGCUGGGCAAUACCAAACCCUGCAUUACCUAUGGACUGAGGGGGAUCUGCUACUUCUUCAUU